rnacentral:tRNA from 1 species
GCUCGAGUGGUGUAGCCUGGCCUAUCAUGAAGCCCUGUCGAGGCUUCGACCCGGGUUCAAAUCCCGGCUCGGGCGCCA